rnacentral:lncRNA from 1 species
UUUCUUUUUUUACUUUAUUAUUUAUUGUAUGUUGUGAUGUUUUAAAUAAUAAGUUAAGUUUUGAUGUUUUUGAAAGUAACAUAUACGUUAUUUGUAUUUGAGAAUUAUAAGAAUAGAAAGAAAAAGAAAAGUAUAUUGUAGGCAAUCAGAAUACCCGCUUGCCCACCCACGGGUAGGUAUGGAUAAGGAUGAUAACUAUUUAAAAAUUUGCAAGUAAAUUCUAUCUGCGCUCGCAUAACCCGCAGACACAAUAACCAAUUUGGAAAUAUGCCCAAAUUGACUGCAACUACAACUGCAGUACUUGGAAAGAGUAACUUUAAAUGAAAGGUACGCUUUCCUUUCUAAUAACUUUUUAUAUCGAAAAUAAUUUUUUUUAGAAGAUAAUCUCACAAACUCAUAUACAAAAAUAAUUUCUUUAUAAUUGCAGCACUUAUUAUUAUAGUCAACCAAAUAAUAUAAUUAGAACUACUAUAUUUCUUAUGGCAUGUAUCUCGAGCUAUAUUGUAUUUACAAUUAUAUACAACCAAAUAGCUUCUAAAUUGACCAAGAACUCCAUCCUAAUGCCAACCCCUGAUACAUUAGAUUUUGCAUUUGCUCUAAAGAUAAAGGCGCCACUCCAAUCAUAUCAACCAUGUUUUCUGUUGUCAACACCCUGUAUAGUCAGAAUGUCAAUAGGUCGGAUUCGAAACAAGUUUUGAAAUUUUUGAUUCCGAACCCAACUACCAAAUCCAAAAUCUGAAUCCAAAUCCAAAUCCGAUGGAUUUUCAAAAUUCAUAUUCAAACCCGAACUCGACCAAAAAUUCAAAAUCCGAACCUGAAACAAUUAUUUCUUGUUACCAUAUUUCAAAAUAUAUUAUGUUAUAUUCAAAUAUAACAUCAAACAUUUAUGUUAUAUUAUUUAAUGCAAAAUUAAUUCGGGUUCGAAUUCGGACAAAAUCCGUACCUGAAUCCAAGUUCGUCGGAUUUCUUUUUUAUGGCUGGAUCCGAAACUAUAACCAUUAGGGCCUGUUUGUUUGGAACAAAGUGGAGAGAGGUGAAGUUACUUUCGAUCGUAAAUAAUUACUUUUACUCUUUGUUUUGCUGUAAUAAAGAAACGGUCAAAACCCAAGUUAUCCGAAAGAGCAUAAUUCACUUCGGCCCACCCUAGACCGAGGUCAAUUAUGGCGAAGAGAAGUAAAAAAUAAUAAUAAUAAAGUAAUAUAAUGAGUAAUGCUAGUUAUAUUUAAAUAUAUUUAAUUAUGUCAUUAAUUACUCUUUUAUUUAGUUUGCAUAUUUAAAAUAUGAUAAAAUUUGAUUAGUUAAGUUUUAUUAUUUCUUUCAUUUAGUUUGUAUAUCUAAAAUAUGAUGAAAAUUGAUUAGCUAAGUAUUUAUAUUUUUUUUACUUUAUAAUUUUAUUGCUGUAUUAUUAUAAUUUAUGUAUAAAAAAAUAAUUUAGUUGUUUAGAUUAAUUUUUUUUAAUUAUAUAGAAAUAUAAUUAUAUUAUUUUUAUUUAUUAUAUUAUAACUUAUUUAUUUAUUAAGUUAUUUAUUAUUUAUAUAUAAAUUAUAGUUUUAUAUUAUUUAGUUUCUGUCAAAUAAAAAGUAGACGGAACUUCACUUUCAUAGUUAUAAAACAAACAGUAAGAAAAAAUUAGUUUUCAUCGAAUUUUACUUUAAUCAAAGUCUAUUUCAAUCUAAAGUCCAGUUUCGAUGAAACAAACUGGUCCUAAAGUAUCGGAUAAUUAGCUCAGUUUAGAUUUGAGUUUGGAUAAAAUUUUAGAUACCAGUGCCCAUUGACAUCCCUAGCAUUUAUUUAUAAUCUAUAAAUAUAAUGAAUUGGCAACCAAAAAGGUUACCUCCCCGCAUUUUGGGGUGUCCGGUGGGGCCCGCCUCUUUUCUUUUUUUUUUUUCCUUUCUCUUACUCUCUUACUUUCUUUUUUUUUUAAUUUUUUCUCUCUUAAUUUUUUUUUUUUUGCCUAUGUCAAGUGUAAAAUUUUAUCACACGAAUCAACCCUAUUUUUUAAUAGUCAAUAUAACAAAAUUAAAAUUUCAUCUAAUAAAUAUCAACAUCUAUUCUUUUUAAUUUUUGUCUAUAUCAAGUAUAAAAUUUUAUUAUAUACAUCAAUCCUAUUUUUUAAUAGUCAAGAUAACAAAAUCAAAAUUUUAUCUAAUUGGGAACCUAAAGAAGGCUUUCCCUUAUUUUGGAGAGUUGUGGGGCCUACAAAUUUUUUUAGAAUUUUAUUAGGAUUAAUUACAUAUGCUGUUCAAACUUUCCACCAUUUUUUAUUUUGGUUCCUAAUUUUUUUUUUUUGCAAUUAAGUUUUCAAACUUUUUAAUUUUAUCNUUGUGGGGCCUACAAAUUUUUUUAGAAUUUUAUUUUGGUUCCUAAUUUUUUUUUUUUGCAAUUAAGUUUUCAAACUUUUUAAUUUUAUCACGAUAAAAUAACAACCGUUAAAAAAUAUUUCAAAAUUAUUAAAAUUAUCAUGCCAUCGCCUAUUUAACUUUUUUUUUUCUUUGUAUGCUUUUUACUUUAGUCUCCAAAACAUAUAUGAAUUGGUAACCCUAAAACCUUUCCUUAUUUUGGAGGGUUGUGGGGCCCACGCAAUUUUUAAAAAAUUAAUUUAUAUAAUAAUAUAAUAAUAAUAUUAUAUUAUUUAUUUGGUACUUAAAUUUUUUUACAGUGUAAAAAAUAUCUAUUUUGAUUUCGAAUACCUUUUGAUUAGUUUUACUUUUUGUGUUUUUGAUAAUAACCUACUGAUUUCUUCACUAAUUUAAAAUUUAGGAAUCAAAUACGUUAUUAGUUGUGCGUGUGACGAUAAAAGUUAAUGAAGGCACAAUGAAGACGUUGCCGCCAAAAAUACCAAAAAUAGUACUUUCACUCGUAUUAAUUUUUUAAUUCUUUUUUUUUUGUAAAUUCCAUCUUGAGGAUAAUAGAAAAAUAUUAUUCAUCUUUCUUAAUACAGUAAUGAGCUUUUGUUUUAAUUUAAACUGAUUUAUCAUUUUACUUAUUAGGUUUAAAUAUUUUUAGAAAGAAAUUUAUUUUAAUUUCAUUCUUUAAUUUUUAAUUAUUCAAUUUAAAAAUAUUAAUGUAUAAUAAAAAAAAAAUUGAUGUUAAUAAUUAUAAUAAUUUAUUAUUAUACUGUCUUUGCAACGCGCGGGGCUUCUUAACUAGUAAACUUAUGAAUUGGCGACCGCCGGGGCUUCUCCACAUCCCACGGUUGUGGCGCCGGCAGUAUACGUGUGGUUUUAAAUACCCUAAUAAGUGUGGUUUUAUACUUUCUCAUUUUAGUACUCUGUGAUUUUAAAUAUAUCAAGUUAAUACCCUAUGAUUUUAUUUUUGUAUUAAUUCAGUACCCUGUGGUUUCAAUUCUUUUUUUUUAUUAUCCAUUUCGGAGUAUAUAAUUUUAAAAAAAUAUUAAACCACAGGAUACUAAUGUGAGAAAGUGCGAAACCACAGGGUACUAACUUGAUACACUUGAAACCACAGGGGCACUAAAGUGAGAAAGUGCGAAACCACAGGGUACUAACUUGAUACACUUGAAACCACAGGGGCACUAAAGUGAGAAAGUGCGAAACCAUAGGGUACUAACUUGAUACAUUAUAAACCACAGGGUAUUAAAGUGAGAAAGUACGAAAGUAUUUGAAGUUUUUUCAUAUUCAUAUUAUGUUUUG